rnacentral:rRNA from 1 species
AGAGUUUGAUCCUGGCUCAGGACGAACGCUGGCGGCGCGCCUAACACAUGCAAGUCGAACGAGCGAGAGAGAGCUUGCUUUCUCGAGCGAGUGGCGAACGGGUGAGUAACGCGUGAGGAACCUGCCUCAAAGAGGGGGACAACAGUUGGAAACGACUGCUAAUACCGCAUAAGCCCACAGGUCGGCAUCGACCAGAGGGAAAAGGAGCAAUCCGCUUUGAGAUGGCCUCGCGUCCGAUUAGCUAGUUGGUGAGGUAACGGCCCACCAAGGCGACGAUCGGUAGCCGGACUGAGAGGUUGAACGGCCACAUUGGGACUGAGACACGGCCCAGACUCCUACGGGAGGCAGCAGUGGGGAAUAUUGCACAAUGGGGGAAACCCUGAUGCAGCGACGCCGCGUGGAGGAAGAAGGUCUUCGGAUUGUAAACUCCUGUUGUUGAGGAAGAUAAUGACGGUACUCAACAAGGAAGUGACGGCUAACUACGUGCCAGCAGCCGCGGUAAAACGUAGGUCACAAGCGUUGUCCGGAAUUACUGGGUGUAAAGGGAGCGCAGGCGGGAAGACAAGUUGGAAGUGAAAUCCAUGGGCUCAACCCAUGAACUGCUUUCAAAACUGUUUUUCUUGAGUAGUGCAGAGGUAGGCGGAAUUCCCGGUGUAGCGGUGGAAUGCGUAGAUAUCGGGAGGAACACCAGUGGCGAAGGCGGCCUACUGGGCACCAACUGACGCUGAGGCUCGAAAGUGUGGGUAGCAAACAGGAUUAGAUACCCUGGUAGUCCACACCGUAAACGAUGAUUACUAGGUGUUGGAGGAUUGACCCCUUCAGUGCCGCAGUUAACACAAUAAGUAAUCCACCUGGGGAGUACGACCGCAAGGUUGAAACUCAA